rnacentral:rRNA from 1 species
UACGUAGGCAGCGAGCGUUGUUCGGAGUUACUGGGCGUAAAGGGUGCGUAGGCGGUUGUUUAAGUUUGGUGUGAAAUCUCCCGGCUCAACUGGGAGGGUGCGCCGAGUACUGAAUGACUAGAGUGCGGGAGAGGAUAGUGGAAUUCCUGGUGUAGCGGUGAAAUGCGUAGAUAUCAGGAGGAACACCGGUGGUGUAGACGGCUAUCUGGACCGUAACUGACGCUGAAGGCACGAAAGCGUGGGUAGCAAACAGG